AAGUAAAAGUCGUAACAAGGUUUCCGUAGGUGAACCUGCGGAAGGAUCAUUAACGAGUCUUUGAAGUGGGUUUGAUGCUGGCCGUCUCAGGCAUGUGCUCGCCCCGCUCCAAUCCUCUCAACCCCUGUGCACUUCAUGUUCGAAGAUGUGACUUCCCCCGCGAGGGGAGCAGCUCGGGAGACCGAGCCGGAGUCGCUCUUUGGGCACACACAAACUCUUAUGUAUCUGGAUGUAUACAAGGCCUACGGGCCCUAAACUAAACAAUACAACUUUCAACAACGGAUCUCUUGGCUCUCGCAUCGAUGAAGAACGCAGCGAAAUGCGAUAAGUAAUGUGAAUUGCAGAAUUCAGUGAAUCAUCGAAUCUUUGAACGCACCUUGCGCUCCUUGGCAUUCCGAGGAGCAUGCCUGUUUGAGUGUCAUGAAUUCAUCAACCCCGAAGGGAUUUUGGUCCUUCUCGGCGGCUUGGACUUGGGGGACUUUGCUGGCCUUCAUCGGUCGGCUCCCCUUGAAUGCAUUAGCUUGGACUUGUCCCGGCGACGUCAUAGCGUGAUAACUAUCUACGCUUUGAACCGUCUGUUGGUACCUCGUAGGUCUGGCUUCCAAUCGUCUUCGGACAAUACACCAUUCAUUUUGACCUCAAAUCAGGUAGGACUACCCGCUGAACUUAAGCAUAU
rnacentral:rRNA from 1 species